rnacentral:tRNA from 1 species
GUUAUUGUAGCUUAUAUUAUUAAAGCAUAGCACUGAAGAUGCUAAGAUAGAUUAAAUAAAUCUCAAAAACA